rnacentral:misc_RNA from 1 species
ACCUCCUGAAGUUUACAAGGGCAAAGGUAUUAUGUACAUUGAUGAAGUGAUAAAAAAGAAGCAGGGAAAGAAAUCAAAAUGAGAACCCAUUAAUCAUGGUUCUUUCUUGGGCUUGGUACUUUUUAUGAUGCUAGACAAUUUUCCUUUAAUUAUCUUUCCUAUUUGUAAUUUCCUAAUGUAAUUUUGUUUUCUGACUGCUUUGGUAUUUUUAAAAGUUAGAGGAGUUGAAGAUCUUUUACCUUGGUCACGGAAGUUGCUAAACAUCUCAAUGACAGUUUUUGUAUCAACUUUUUUCAUCCUUUCAAAUGCUACAAAUAAGUGAUGGACG